GCAGCGGCGGCUUCGUUCCGGGUUCCAUCAUUUCCCUCGCUUUUUGCUGCUGCAACGGCCAACCGUACAGUAUUGUGGAUUCUCCUACUCAUGUCAAAAGAUAUUGCACGGGGUGCAAUUGGUUGGAAGGCUGAGCAACAUACCCAGAAAUGUGGCACUGCUGCUUACAUUCUUCUUGCGCUUUAACAAGGGGAAUGAUGCAAUGCUGCAGUGGAGUUUGAAAAUAAUGCAAGCAGAGACCAGUUUCAGUGACAAGGAUGCCGCGUACGUUGGUCUUAUACCCCUAGUGGUAUCCUACUUCAAAGAUGAUCUCAGCCAACUCACACAAGUAUAUGAGGCAUCAACAGAGAAGACAAGCGAUUUUCUCGGCACCUUGCUGCCCGAUUGCCCAGUCAUAGCUGCAUUAGAUACCCAUUGUCAUAUGUGAAGAGGACACACGCCAGCAAAUGAAGAGGAACAAAGGAGCCCGCUCAAAGGCUCGGGCGGCUUGCGCAAAGAUUGUGGUCUUCAAGAAGAAAUAGAGCUCUCUCCUCUUAUGGCCCAAGACAGGCUGUACAUGUUCGUCGAAUUGAGUACAACUGAGAACUCACCUUGUGGGGAUUUUUUUUCAAGGACUAUCCUGAGUAUCCAUGUAACCUUUAUGGAGUAUCAAUUAUUACGGCAUGAAAAAAAUUUGGUGGUGUUGGACAGAAAAGGAGAACGCUCCCCUACAAAUGUUGAGCUCCUUAUUCCCAUACAAGAGCCAAAAAGGUGGUUUUAUUUAUUAUUCUGGCUAACAUCUUUCUUUUCUAAUGUACUAUUGACUGUAUGAGUUCCAUUUUAAUUAGACUACCUAACAGAUGGCUACAACACUGGGGAAUGCUGCACAAGACAGAAGGAAAGGAGUCGCACACACGAGCACCUGUAGCAAUCGCUGGUGUUUCGAUUUCUGCCCUUCCGUCUGUUUAUCCUGCUCUUCCGUCUAUUUAUGUUGCAUUACUUUAUGACAUUUUCCUUAUUCAUCAAAACUGCUAUAAAGCACAGCAACCAUGCAAAUUCAUUACGGUGUCAUUACAGUCACGAUGUCUCACAGGUGAGAUCCCUCAUG